UAAAAGUAUAAAAAUGUAUUCUAUAAAAAGAGGCAUGAAUUUUUUUCUCUAGGUUCUAGAUUUGAGAACGGAGUAGUCAUUUUUAUUUUGCUACCGAUAGUGGAUGGCGGAUCUUUAUGGAACAGGGUAGCCCAAUUUUUCUUGUUCUUAAUUAGUUCUAUAGAUAUGUAUAAUGUACCACAUUUUGUAAAAUGCACAAUGAUUUAGAAUGUUAAAUACUUGGCCCAAGUAAAUGGUAUUUGUUUUAAUAUUUCAAUUUGUUAUAAUUGGUAGUAUUUUCUUUUAGAUCGUGUACUCCAAUAUUGCACCUCAUGGAGCACUGAAACUGUACGACUUCAUAGCAAUGGUGACAGUAGUCAUGAUAAUUUUGUCUCAGCUUCCCACUUUCCAUUCCCUACGACACAUCAACUUGUGUUCCCUUUUUCUCAGCUUGGGCUACACCUUCCUUGUAGUUGGUGCUUGUAUUCAUGCAGGUAUGGACUAGUAUUAUAUUACAAAACUAUUACCCCCUUGAUUACAUUUAUGCGAUUAAACUUGAUUUUGUAGGUACAUCAAAAAAUGCCCCACCAAGGGACUAUUCCUUGGAACCUAAGGAAUCCUCAAGGGUCUUCAGUGCCUUCACUGCCAUUUCCAUAAUUGCAGCAAUUUUUGGGAAUGGCAUAUUACCUGAGAUACAAGUAACCAUUUUGUCCUCUUUCUAAAUUGAAAUAAUUACUAGACAAAUAUGUUGCUUCUUAAAAUUAGAUUAACCAUGUCAUUAUGUAUUAAUUGUAUAGGCAACUCUAGCACCUCCUGCAACUGGAAAGAUGAUAAAAGGCCUUACUAUGUGUUAUGCUGUAAUUUUGGUGACAUUCUACUCUGCUGCAGUUUCUGGGUAUUGGGUAUUUGGAAACAAGUCCAACUCCAACAUUUUGAAGAGUUUGAUGCCAGAUGAUGGACCUUCUUUGGCUCCAACUUGGGUCCUUGGACUCGCUAUCGUCUUUGUUCUUCUUCAACUCUUCGCAAUCGGUCUGGUAAGCUCACAAACACAAAUAUAAGGGAUUGAAUUGGUUUAAACUUUAAACUAUGGUCGCGGUUACAGACUUGUAAUUAUACUGUAAUUCUUGAUAUUGCGGACAACUGCAGAUAAAUGCAACUACCGUUGUGGUUGCUAUAAGUUGUAGAGGUUUCCAAUUUCCAAAGCCUUUACAAUGUCACGGUCUUUGCAGGUUGCAAUUUAGGACUAUACUAAAAAAUAAGCAAUAAUAAUUUUAGUCUUAUCAUAUUUAUAGGUUUAUUCUCAAGUUGCUUAUGAGAUAAUGGAGAAGAAAUCAGCAGAUGUGAAGCAAGGGAUGUUUUCCAAAAGAAAUCUUCUUCCUCGCCUGAUUCUUCGAACAACUUACAUGAUUUUCUGUGGAUUUCUGGCAGCCAUGUUGNAUGUCUCUUACUUGGCAUCUGGUUUAUUUGGCUCAAAAUGUUCAUCAGAGUUGCUAAUUAAUCAGAUUAAUUGUGUUUAAUGUUCAUUAAUUUGUACUUUUUUAAGUGUUGUGCUUGUAAUGAUAUGUGUUGAUACAUGCAGUGACUGUAGUAUUUAGAUUUGUAUCUUUCUGGUUUGUUUUAAGUUGGGACUCCAAAGGUUUAUGAUUAGACAUAUGUACUGUAUAUUUUAGUUUGUAUGAUCAUUUUGUCUUGGAUUAUUAAUGUUUUUCAUCCCUCUAAUAUAGGUUAUAUCUAGUUUUUAUUUCUAUAAAAAAUUUGGUUAUAAAAAAUUUGGUUAAGAAUCCGUCCUCGUAAUUUCUUUUUAUCCGGAAAACACCCCUCUCCAUAUGACUGCAUUUUGAAAAUUAAUUUUCAGAUUAUUUUAAAAAAUUAAAAUCUGAUGUGGACAAUUAAAAAUCAAUAAAAAUUAAAAAAAAAAAAUCAAGUCAGCGUCAUAUAUGCACAAUUGAUGAGUUGGACGGAGGAGAGGUGUUUUUCGAAGAAAAAAAAUUUACAAGAAUGUAAAUCACACUUAAAAUUUUAUAGGGACGAAAAUAAAAAAUGACUUAUAUUAUAAGGUAAAAAACAUCAUUAACCCUUCAAAAAAUAAGAUUUAUAUUAUAUUUGUUGUUGCGUGAGCAUGGGUAAAUUAGUAAUUCCACCGUAUAGAUUAUUUUAGUAGUGUUUUGUUUGGGAAUAGUUAUUUUUACUAAGUUAAUAGUGGGUUGUGGUAAUAGUUAAGAACUGAUAACUAUUUCUUAUUUUUUUUAGAGUUUUAAUUUUUCUACCCUGCUGCCUUCUAGCGCGCUCUGCAAAAAUUUCAAUAAUACCCCUGGCUCGGAUUUCGUUUUUUGAACCAGAUUGUUAGUGUUUUCGGAAAAUAAAAUUUCAACAAUGACCAUGACACCACAAACACUCCUAAAAGCUACUUAAAAAAAAAAUGAACAAAAUGUAAGAAAGGAUGUGAAGAAGAAUGAAGGAAAAUAAGUCAUAAGUCUUAAUUACAAUCAAAUAAAACGUGUUUCACAUUCAAAACCGUCAAAAAAUGGAUUCAAACUCCACUAACCGCCCUAUCCUUUGGUGAAAUGUCACAGACUAAAAUGUUACCGAGGGUUUCCGGAUUUUAUAAUCCGAAAAGCAUGAAGUUAGUCCGGAUUUUAAAGUCCGAACUGCAUCAGACCUUUUAUUUGGAUCGUUUUUGUUGAGAAUGCCUUGGAAAAAAAUAGAACAAAAGUACAUAACAUAAAAAGAAGCAACAUAAAAUAAAUAAACAAUUAAAAAAAAUCAUAAUAACAUAAAUGAUGAAUCUUUUGGGAAUGUAUUUUCAAGAGGAUUUCUUUGAGUUAGAUCAUGUUGUCUUACAAAACGACAUAUUCAUCUGGAAGGUAGCAAGAUCUAACUCAUAGCAACCUCUUGAUAUUUUUGGGAAGGUAUAUUUUUGAAAGCAUAUUGAGGAUCUUCACCAUGCUGGCACAUAAGCAAUCUAUUUGUCACAUAGAGAUCAAUCUAUUUUGCGGCCGUAUGACAAAGACCCUCAGUCUAAUUACAAAAAUUUGCAUGGUCUCUUUGGUGUGUUUGUUUGUAUUUUUGAUAGCAUGAUGUAGAUCUUCAUCACGCCGUCAAAUAGAGAGCUAUAUAUUUGCGACAACAUGAGAAAAAUCCUCAGCUUAAUGACAAAAAAUUGCAUGGUUUUCUUUGGUGUGUUUGUGUGUUUUGCUGGUAUUGAAGCUGAAAAUCGGAGAGGGUGUAUUUAUAGAGGUCCUUGGAUGUUGUGGACCACAUAAACUUUUGGUGCAAUGUGGUCCAUACAAAAGAAUUCAAUGUUGAAGCGCUCCAGAUUUAGUAAUUCAGAAUACAGUUACGCUUUAUGUGAAUUCGGACUGCAUAUAUAUCUUCGAUUAUUUUAUAUAAUAAAUGAACAUCUUUGACAUAAAUUAAAACAUAAUGAAAGUUUAAAUAAUAUAUAUAUUAUUCAAAACAUAAUGCAGCAACUUAAUUCAACAACAAAUAACUAACAGACAAUUAAUACAAUAUAAAAUACGCGAUUAAUUAAAACAUAGCACAUUAUCACGGAUCAUCUAAACUACCUUCUUCCUCUGGUCCCUCCAGCAGAGCCUUGAGCUCUUCGUAUUUCCUGGGCCAGUGCAAACUUUUCAGAAUUUGUUCAGCAUUUCUAACCAACGAAGCGUCCAACUCGAUCGGUCCUGUAGUACUGUGCUGACCAAAGACAGAGAACAUGGUUCUCACGUCGUCAUCGUUUGUGAGUUUCAUCCGGCUGAAGCGUAGAGAUCUGGCUGAUUCGGACAAUGGAAUUCGAUAUUCAACACCGACCACCCUCCUCAUGUCUCUGUGGUUGAGUUGACAGUUGAUUUGAUCCAGCUCAUCCUUCAGCCCGAAGAGGGUGACAACAUUGCUGAUAGACUUUUAGCAAGAAUACUAAAAAUGUAUCGAAAUAAUAAAAAUAAGUUCGUAUCCAUGAGGACUGUGUUAAUCUCAAUUUAGCAAUAAGGAUGUAUAAAAUUCAAUGGUGUGCCCUAGGCAGUUGAGUUGACUUUUGUAAUAUAAACGAAAUAAAAACAAUAAAAGUUGGUUUUAGAAAAUUUGAGACAAUCCUUCAAAAAAAAGAUAAUUUGAGAGAAGCAUGGUUAAGACCUUCGAAUCCUCCGAAGUUCUCCUAUGGUAAUUUGCACUCAUAAUUUUAGCAAGGCUUAAAUGCUCUUUUAGUCCCUUAACUAAUUUAAUUGGUAUCGCUUUGGACCCUUAACUAAAAAAAAAUUGUUUGAGGAUUUUAAGUUUUUUUUUAGUCUCAUUUUGGUCUCUUCUGUUAGGUUUCCGUUAGUUUUAAUAAAAAACGUUAAGUGUGGACACGUGUCACCUUCUCAUUGGCUCCGAGAUUUAUUUAUUUAUUUUUUUACAAAAAAAAUAUUUUUUUUUAUUAAAAAAAUUAAUUAAUUUUUUUUUAAAAUUUAUUUAUUUAUUUUUUUGUAAAAAAUUCCCAGAACCAAUGACAAGGUGACACGUGUUAACUCUAGGACAUGUGUCGCUUUGUCAUUGGCUUUGGGAUUUUUUUUUAAAAAAAAAAUAUAUAUUUUAAAAAAAAUAAUUGUAAAAAAAAAUAUUUUUUUUUGUAAAAAAAAAAACUCAGAACCAAUAACAAGGUGACAGGAGUCCAGGAGUUAACUUUUUUUUAAAACCCUAAUGGAAACCUAACAGAAGGGACCAAAACGAGACUAAAAAAAAACUUAAAAUCCUCAAACAAUCUUUUUUUUUAGUUAAGGAACCAAACGAUACCAAUUAAAUAGUUAAGGGACCAAAAGAACAUUUAAGCCAUCAAACAAUGAUUACGACAGAUUAACAAGCUUCUUUCUCCUCAACUUUUGGAUCUCCCAAACCGUGAUGUGCCAAAGCCUGAUGAUUCCUUUUUUGCGGUUAGCUUCUUAUAUAUACUAGUUGUUAUUGUAGACACGUAUGGUAUUCAUUCAACAUAGACGGACACAUGAUGUUAUGCACUAUUAAAUAGUUAAAUUCCAUCCACAUUCAAUACUAGGAUGAAAUAGUUGACCCCUAUCACUUUGGUGUAUAUGGAACUUUUCACAUUUGGUCCACAACUCUUAGGUUCAGCUAAGUUCGUGUAUUCUCUCCACAAUAUAAUGGUUCUAAAAUAUUGUACAAUGUAUGAUAGGUUAGGGUAGAGAGAAUUGAUACUUUCGAGCAGUAUCAACUCCAGAAAAUAAGAGAGAAAGGAUAAUUUUAUUAAUUUUCUUCUGUUGUCAUUAUUACAAGCAAGGGACUAUAUAGAGUCCACUGUUGUCCUAGCCUAUGGGAUCUAAUGACACAUGUGCCCAGAUCCAUAAAAGAUGGCAACAAACUAGCUAGUGGCUAUGAAGAACGGACACUCUUCGGAUUAGACGUGUUCUGUUGUCGGAUACAUGUCGUGUCCGAUACAGUGGCGGAGCCAGAAAAAAAUGUCAGGGUGGACCACUAAAAUUAACUAUUGAAAAAUUGUUUAAAGUCUCGUAAAUUAGACCUAUAAUUGAAUUAUUUAAAUUUUUCGGGUGUGCCACUACACCAAUUUGCGGGAAUUUGGAUCAACCAAAACCUAAAAUCGACAUAAAAUUGUAUAAAAUCUCCCAAAAUAAACCUAUAAUUGAAUUAUUUAAAUUUUCGGGUGGACCACUACACCACUUUGCAUGAAUUUGGAUCAACCAAAACAUAAAACCGACACAAAAUUGCAUAAAAUCUCGCAAAAUAGACCUAUAAUCGUUGAUUUUUUAAUUUUUCCGGGCGGGCCGUGGCCCACCCCAGCCCAUGAAGGGCUCCGCCACUGGUCCGACACCGACACAACACUUGUAGUUGCACUGAAUUAUGUGAUUUUUUUAAAUUAUUAGCUGUGUCGACGUGUCAGUGUCCGUAUCGUGUCUUAUGUCCGUAUCCGUGCUUCUUAGGCUAGAGGCCAAGGAUUACAACAGAUAUUUCAUUACUCUAAAGUUGGUGUGAUUCCCACAUAAUCACGUGCCCAGAAGGGCGCUUUCCUCUCCCAUUGUGGUCUUGGGCUUUUGCUUCAAUGUACCACUUGUUAGCUUGUCCAUGCUAGAUCAAGAUAAUUAAGAAAACCGGUAAUGUUAUUUAUUAAAUUUAAUAACAAUUUGUAUUUAAUAUUUAUUGUUGAUUAUAGACAAAUAUGUAAAAUAAUUAGGAGUAUGUUAGUAAAAAUAAUAGUUAAUGAAAUUAAAAGUAUAAAAAUGUAUUCUAUAAAAAGAGGCAUGAAUUUUUUUCUCUAGGUUCUAGAUUUGAGAACGGAGUAGUCAUUUUUAUUUUGCUACCGAUAGUGGAUGGCGGAUCUUUAUGGAACAGGGUAGCCCAAUUUUUCUUGUUCUUAAUUAGUUCUAUAGAUAUGUAUAAUGUACCACAUUUUGUAAAAUGCACAAUGAUUUAGAAUGUUAAAUACUUGGCCCAAGUAAAUGGUAUUUGUUUUAAUAUUUCAAUUUGUUAUAAUUGGUAGUAUUUUCUUUUAGAUCGUGUACUCCAAUAUUGCACCUCAUGGAGCACUGAAACUGUACGACUUCAUAGCAAUGGUGACAGUAGUCAUGAUAAUUUUGUCUCAGCUUCCCACUUUCCAUUCCCUACGACACAUCAACUUGUGUUCCCUUUUUCUCAGCUUGGGCUACACCUUCCUUGUAGUUGGUGCUUGUAUUCAUGCAGGUAUGGACUAGUAUUAUAUUACAAAACUAUUACCCCCUUGAUUACAUUUAUGCGAUUAAACUUGAUUUUGUAGGUACAUCAAAAAAUGCCCCACCAAGGGACUAUUCCUUGGAACCUAAGGAAUCCUCAAGGGUCUUCAGUGCCUUCACUGCCAUUUCCAUAAUUGCAGCAAUUUUUGGGAAUGGCAUAUUACCUGAGAUACAAGUAACCAUUUUGUCCUCUUUCUAAAUUGAAAUAAUUACUAGACAAAUAUGUUGCUUCUU
rnacentral:lncRNA from 1 species